rnacentral:lncRNA from 1 species
GGGAAAGUCCCAUGUUGGACGGUAGAUGUUAUUGGAAAGACUGUGGCUCCCUUUCAUGAGUUCUUUGUUAAAUUAACAAAAAAUUUUAAUGGACUCAGAAGGAAAUUUAGGGACAAUUUUGUAAUUUUAGGAAUUCAGCAGGGAAUGGAGGUCAACAAGCAGACACAUGACCAAUAGCAGGAUUCAGAGGUAGUCUUUUUGGAGAAGUGGGCAGUCCCGAGUUUUUUGAUGAGAACGGACAGCACCUUGUCCAGUGGGUCCAUUACUCCUCUCUGAAGCCACUUGGGAAUAGUAGUCCUGGCAUGGUGAAAGCCCAAUUUUUGAAGAAUAUAAUCAACACCUACAGGAUCAAUCUUUCUUCCAGUCCAAGAAAUUAAUCUAAAAUGGUAAUUAGAAAUGGUCAUUAUCAAGGUGUAUAAUGCACGAACAUUACUGUACUCCCUUAAUAUAU